UCAACAAGUGUAUUUUUUUAAUUUUAAGAACAACGUUUCGAACUUGUAUCACCAAAACAUUGAAAGAAUAGGAUCAUUGAGGUUUGCUUCAUACUUAAUAUAUAUACAUUGUUUUCUUGUAAGCUAGAGAUUUCCUCAAAGCACAAAAAAAAAAUAUUUCAUAUAUUCUUGUUAAGAAUCAUCCGAAAGCUUAUAGCAUCUUAAGCCUGAAACUUCAUAUUUGAGACACUAUGCAUGUUGGACCAUCAUCAGCCAUAUCUGGAUGCACAAAAUUCCUCGAUUUUAUAGUCUCCAUGGCAACCGAAUAGAACGAAGACCUCUGAAACCAACAACAAGUUGGCCUUCCAAACAUAUCUCUCUCCUCGAUUAUGCUUCGAUUCUGCUUCGUCAUCACAACAAUAGCAACCACUUACUGUUUUCGCCACGUAUUGAUUCUCUUUUUGGCUGUAACUCUCAAAUUGUGGUAGUUUAUACAUGUAACCAAACAUACAGAGACCCUGCCCCAUGUCAAUUGUCGUGUUGCCGAAUAUUGGAAACAUAAAACAAUUUGCGAAUUCCCUGCUUAACGAACAAAAUCCAAAUUCUCGAUUCUAGCAACAAGAAACAGACCAUUUAAAAAAGGGAAAACGAAGCAAUUGCUCAAAUUUCUCAACUCUAGCCGUGAGCAAGAAACAACUUAAAAGAGAAUGGAAGAACGAGUUACUGAAGCAAUUCCCUCAACACACACUCCCCCUCGGCGCUCUUCCGCUGGCGAGACGAUGACGCAGAACAUGAACUAGGGAUUCUGUUUAAUCUCGAUAGCAGCAGAUAUUUUGGUUUGGGGAAGAACAUUUGUGGGGUUCUGAUUUUAUUCGAUGUCUAUUUACGAUUAUUUUGUUAAUGAAUAUUUUAAUUUAUUGUUGAGUUAAUAAG
rnacentral:lncRNA from 1 species